ensembl:snRNA
CUGUUGUAUGAAAGGAGAGAAGGUUAGCACUCCCCUUGACAAGGAUGGAAGAGGCCCUCGGGCCUGACAACACGCAUACGGUUAAGGCACUGCCACCUACUACUUCGUGGCAUCUAACCAUCGUUUUUG